GCGCUCAAUUCAGCAGCAUAUAUACUAAAAUUAGAACAAUCCAGAGAAAAUUAGCAUGGCCUCUUCAUAAGGACGACAUGUAAAUUUGUAAAGCGUUUCAUAUUUUA
ensembl:snRNA U6 U6 spliceosomal RNA